GUGGAGAGGUGAAGCCCAAAGUAGAAGUAUAAGGAGUAAGCCAGAAGACUUGCUUUGAAGUCGCUGUGAUCUGCACAUCAUGACAUCAGCUCAGAAUUACUUUGGCCAUAAAACAUGCAGACACAGGAUGCUUGUGAAUAAUAUCCACUUGAAACUGCAAUGCUUUACAUUGCAGGGUUAAGGGAACAGGGGCACUGCACCCAGACCGCAACAAUGAGAUGAAG